AUGACUGGGAAGGGAGGCAAGCCAUUGCUCGCGGCCAAGUCAGAGAAGUACAAGGCCAACAUCUCCAAGGCGUCCAAAGCAGGCAUGCAGCAAACAAUUGUGGGGGAUAAACGCGUUUGUCCUAGGGCGGCGGUCUACACGGCUGCUAUUCUGGAGUACCUGACUGCUGAGAUUCUAGAGCUGGCUGGAGACAGUUGCAAGUCUGAGAAUUUGGAAGAUAUCACCCCUUGCCAUCUUCAGCUGGCCAUCCGUGGCGAUGAAGACCUCAAUAAGCUUAUCAAGGGUACCAUCCCUAGUGGAGGUGUGAUCCCCAAAAUCGCCAAGGCCCUACUUGACAAGCGUCGUGCCGGUAUUAAGGAGUAA
rnacentral:rRNA from 1 species